UACGGAGGAGGCAAGCGUUAUCCGGAAUUAUUGGGCGUAAAGCGUCCGCAGGUGGCACCUCAAGUCUGCUGUCAAAGACCGGGGCUUAACCCCAGAAAGGCAGUGGAAACUGAAGUGCUAGAGUGCAGUAGGGGUAGAGGGAAUUCCCGGUGUAGCGGUGAAAUGCGUAGAGAUCAGGAAGAACAUCGGUGGCGAAAGCGCUCUGCUGGACUGCAACUGACACUCAGGGACGAAAGCUAGGGGAGCGAAUGGG
rnacentral:rRNA from 1 species